rnacentral:rRNA from 1 species
AUGGGUAAGUGUUGGUUAAUUAGGCCAUAUGCUUGGCAUGAUGAUUCAUUGCGGCCUCUUGUGCGAGAAGUGGCCAUUAAAACAGUUGCAAAUGGAUGAGACGCUCCUGAAUGCAGCAUCAGACACGACAUACCGGCGGUGGUCUUCUCGGUCGGCGGCUACACCGGAAACUUCUUCCACGACAUCUCGGACGUAUUGAUCCCCCUGUACCUGACUUCAUUCCAGUUUAAAGGCAGGGUGCAGUUAUUCGUCACCGAUUGCAAGCAGUGGUGGCUCAGGAAGUAUAAACCGAUUCUACGGAGGCUGUCGCGCUACGACAUUGUCGAUUUCGACUCGAACAAUGAUGUGCACUGCUUCCACCAUGUGAUCCUUGGUCUGGUGAGGGACAGGGACCUGAUCAUACGCCGGCAUCCUACAAGAAACCCCAAGGGACACUCCAUGGUAGGAUUCACAAGAUUCUUGCGCCACGCCUACGGUCUCUGACGUGACAGGCCAUUUGUCCUUGGCAAAAACCCCGGCAAGAAGCCGAGGAUGCUGAUCAUAUCUCGUCGAGGGACACGAAGGCUCCUGAACCUACACGAGGUGGAGGCCAUGGCGACAGCGCUAGGAUUCGACGUGACGGUCUCCGAGGCCGGUGGCAACAGCAUCAGGAGGUUCGCGGCGAUGAUGAACCCGUGCGACGUGCUGGUAGCGGUCCAUGGCGCAGGCCUGACCAACCAGAUGUUCCUCCCGGCGCGGGCCGUGGUGGUUCAGAUUGUGCCGUGGGGCAGGAUGGAGUGGAUGGCCACCAACUUCUACGGUGAGCCAGCGCGUGGCAUGGGCCUUCGGUACCUCGAUUACCACGUCGCCGGAGAGGAGAGCAGCGUCGCCCGAUGGUACCCGAGGGACCAUGCCGUGUUCAGGGACCCCUUGGCCAUCCAUGCACAGGGGUGGAAGGCGCUUGCAGAGGUGGUGAUGACGCAGGACGUGAGGCUCGAUCUGGAUAGGUUCAGGCCUACUCUCCUACGUGCCCUGGACCUUCUUCAAGAUUUUAAGUUCAUGUGUCCUUAA